CUAGCUGCUACCAGACAACUGUGUGUGUGUCGUGUAUAGUGAGACCUUAUUUGAGUUAGCGGCUGUGUGUGACACAGGAAGCGGCGUGACGGACAGGCUCCUGUUACUGUGAAGAUCACGUACAAUACAGAUCACUGCAUUUGCCAGUAAAGAAGAAACAUUAUAAGAAUAUCUGACAAAUUCAGUUCUGCUGUACAAGACAAUGUCUGACAAGACCGAAAGACAAACCUCAGACCUUCCUGAUGCACACGGUGGGCGUCUAGAGGAAAACCCGGGCACUGGGCUAUUAAAUGUGAAGGAAGAGGAUGAGACAGAUGACCUGAAUAGUCAUCAGACUGAAAUACAUUGCUCCCUCCCUGCCAGUGAGUAGUAAUACGUGAGAGUCUGCCG